rnacentral:rRNA from 1 species
AACGAACGCUGGCGGCGCGCCUAAUACAUGCAAGUCGAGCGAGAAGACGUAGCAAUACGUUUGUAAAGCGGCGAACGGGUGAGGAAUACAUGGGUAACCUACCCUCGAGUGGGGAAUAACUAGCCGAAGGUUAGCUAAUACCGCGUACGCUCCUUGGACUUCGGUUCAGGGAGGAAAGCGAUACCGUGGGUAUCGCGCUCUUGGAUGGGCUCAUGUCCUAUCAGCUUGUUGGUGAGGAACGGCUCACCAAGGCUUCGACGGGUAGCUGGUCUGAGAGGACGAUCAGCCACACUGGCACUGCGACACGGGCCAGACUCCUACGGGAGGCAGCAGUAAGGAAUAUUGCGCAAUGGGCGAAAGCCUGACGCAGCGACGCCGCGUGGGGGAUGAAGGUC